rnacentral:rRNA from 1 species
GGACUAUUGGACAUAGGGGGCAACCCUCGAGGUACCAGGCCAUGCCGCGUGUGUGAAGAAGGCCUUUUGGUUGUAAAGCACUUUAAGCAGUGAAGAAGACUCCAUGGUUAAUACCCAUGGACGAUGACAUUAGCUGCAGAAUAAGCACCGGCUAACUCUGUGCCAGCAGCCGCGGUAAUACAGAGGGUGCAAGCGUUAAUCGGAAUUACUGGGCGUAAAGCGAGCGUAGGUGGCUUGAUAAGUCAGAUGUGAAAGCCCCGGGCUUAACCUGGGAACGGCAUCUGAUACUGUUAGGCUAGAGUAGGUGAGAGGAAGGUAGAAUUCCAGGUGUAGCGGUGAAAUGCGUAGAGAUCUGGAGGAAUACCGGAUGGCGAAGGCAGCCUUCUGGCAUCAUACUGACACUGAGGUUCGAAAGCGUGGGUAGCAAACAGGAUUAGAUACCCGUGGUAGUCCAACGCCGUAAACGAUGUCUACUAGUCGUUGGGUCCCUUGAGGACUUUAGCGACGCAGCUAACGCAAUAACGGUAGACCCGG